UACGGAGGGCGCAAGCGUUGUUCGGAAUUACUGGGCGUAAAGCGCGUGUAGGUGGCUUGGAAAGUCGGGUGUGAAAUCCCGGAGCUCAACUCCGGAACUGCAUCCGAUACUGCCAAGCUCGAGUCUCGGAGAGGACGGCGGAAUUUCCGGUGUAGAGGUGAAAUUCGUAGAUAUCGGAAGGAACACCAGUGGCGAAGGCGGCCGUCUGGACGAUGACUGACACUGAGACGCGAAAGCGUGGGGAGCAAAC
rnacentral:rRNA from 1 species